UACGUAGGGUGCGAGCGUUAAUCGGAAUUACUGGGCGUAAAGUGUGCGCAGGCGGCCGAGCAAGUCGAGUGUGAAAGCCCCCGGGCUUAACCUGGGAACUGCGCUCGAAACUACUUGGCUGGAGUGUGGCAGAGGGAGGUGGAAUUCCACGUGUAGCGGUGAAAUGCGUAGAGAUGUGGAGGAACACCGAUGGCGAAGGCAGCCUCCUGGGCCAACACUGACGCUCAUGCACGAAAGCGUGGGGAGCAAACAGG
rnacentral:rRNA from 1 species